rnacentral:rRNA from 1 species
UACGUAGGGUGCGAGCGUUAAUCGGAAUUACUGGGCGUAAAGCGUGCGCAGGCGGUUCGUUGUGUCGGCGGUGAAAGCCCCGGGCUUAACCUGGGAAUGGCCGUUGAAACUGGCGAACUGGAGUGUGGCAGAGGGGGGUGGAAUUCCGGGUGGAGCGGUGAAAUGCGUAGAGAUCCGGAGGAACACCGACGGCGAAGGCAGCGCCCUGGACGACACCUGACGCUCAGGCACGAAAGCUGGGGGAGCAAACAGG